CAGGCUAGAACACCUGGACAAAUGGAAAUGGCCGCCAUGGACAAGGGGCAAGAAAUGGACUUGCUAAUUAUGCAGGCUCCCUCCCCGAAGCUGCUUCUCUCUUCGACUUCAUCAUGUUCCCGCAUCUUCUUGCUUCACUGUCUCUUUGUGUGAGGGAGAGACCCCAUACCACUUUGCACUCUCUCUGCCUACAAACUGCUUUUAAAGAAUGCUAUUGAGGCUUUGAAAAAAUGAAAAUUAACCAUAGAAAAUACAGGCAGCACUCCAUCCCAGGAGUCAUCCUUGAAUGUUUUUCAUUUGAUCGAGGAGUGAGCAAGGAACUGCUGAGGGAGGAUGGCAAGCAGGAGAGACAGCUGCCAAUGACUGGGUACCAGGACCCGAGUCAUGCAAGAACAGAAGCCAAGAGAGGGAAGAAGCUGAUAGAUGGACAAACACUUGGACACUUGCUGAAGUAGCUUUGCAGGUGCUGUGCUCACUCAGUACAAAGUACCAUAUGGAUAGAUAGGAAGUCUAAAAGCUACCCUGACUUCUGAAUGACACAGCCACCAUUUGGUUACACCUGCAUGCUUCACACAUGGAAACAGCAUUGUAGCAGAACUGACUGUAGUUUUCAUAGUAAAUUUUUUGCUUGGUAUCUUACACAUAUAUUUCAUACAUAUGGGAAAACUGAAGCCUAGAAGGUUUUAAUUACUCAUCUGGGAUAAUUCAGUUAGCAGAGGUCAGUCUGGAGCAUUGGUUCUCAACCUGUGGGAUGUGACCUCUUUCAGGGUCAAAGGACCCUUUCAUGGGGAUUGCUUAUCAGAUAUCCCACAUAUCAGAUAUUUUAGGAAAAUUACAGGUACAAAGCAACAGCAAAAAUAACUUUAUGGUUGUGGGUUUAUACAACAUGAGGAGCUGUAUUAAAGGGUUUAGCACUAGAAAGGUCAAGAACCACUGGCCUAGAACCACAGUCCUGUUUAUGCUUCUCUUCUUUUCAACCAUUGUGGUAUUGAGAUUUCCAUGAUGCUAUUUAUGACUUAACUCAAACAUGGGAGGUUCUGUUUACUUUUCAAGGGUGACUGGGGUUCUUCAUAUAUAACUACCCAAACCCCACCUGUCUUGAUUAGGGUUUUUCUGCUGUGAACAGACACCGUGACCAAGGUAAGGAUUAUAAGGACAGCAUUUAAUUGGGAGAGGCUUACAGAUUCUGAGAUUCUGUCCAUUGUUAUCAAGGAAGGAACAUGUCAGUAUCUAGGCAAGUAUGGUGCAGGAGGGCCCAAGAGUUCUGCAUUUUCAUCUGCAGGCCACUAGGAGAAGAUGGCUUCUAGGCAUCUAGAAAGAGGGUCUAAAAGUCCAUACCCAUGGAGACAAGCCUAAUCCAACAAGGCCACUCCUCCUAAUAGUGCCAUUCUCUGGGCCAAACAUAUACAAGCCAUCAUACCACCUUUUCUCAACAGUCACCAAAGUACACUGAUCUCCAGGUACUUGCUUUGCUCACUACACCUUUAGUAUUUUGCAAUCAUCCAAGAACAAAGAG
rnacentral:lncRNA from 14 species